rnacentral:rRNA from 1 species
AUUGAACGCUGGCGGCAUGCCUUACACAUGCAAGUCGAACGGCAGCGCGGACUUCGGUCUGGCGGCGAGUGGCGAACGGGUGAGUAAUACAUCGGAACGUACCCUGUUGUGGGGGAUAACUAGUCGAAAGAUUAGCUAAUACCGCAUACGACCUGAGGGUGAAAGUGGGGGACCGCAAGGCCUCACGCAGCAGGAGCGGCCGAUGUCUGAUUAGCUAGUUGGUGGGGUAAAGGCCCACCAAGGCGACGAUCAGUAGCUAGUCUGAGAGGACGAUCAGCCACACUGGGACUGAGACACGGCACAGACUCCUACGGGAGGCAGCAGUGGGGAAUUUUGGAAGAUGGGGGCAACACUGAUCCAGCAAUGCCGCGUGUGUGAAGAAGGCCUUCGGGUUGUAAAGCACUUUUGUCCGGAAAGAAAUCGCGCUGGUUAAUACCUGGCGUGGAUGACGGUACCGGAAGAAUAAGCACCGGCUAACUACGUG